ensembl:misc_RNA Metazoa_SRP Metazoan signal recognition particle RNA
GCUGGGUGUGGUGGCAGCACCUGUAGUCCCUGCUGCUUGGGAGGCUGAGGCAGGAGGAUCACUUGAGCCCGGGAGUUCAAGGGUGCAGUGGGUUCUGAUUGCACCACUGAACUAUGAUGGUACCACUCUAGCCUGGGUGACAGAGCGGGACCCUGUCUCUU